UUUUCAAUCCAACCGCUUUUUUUCUCAAUGUACUUAUAUCUUAAAAUAAAGCUUGUUAAAGCUUAUAUUUCUUUGAUGGCCGGUGACCGCCAAUUUUGUUAAUCCAACCGCUUUUUUUUCUUAGUGUACCAAUGUACUUAAGUACUAAGAGCACUGAUCUUAGAGAAUUGGCUUUAAGAAGCUAAUUCUGGACAUUAUAUAGAGGUCUUAAGAACCUAACUCUGGACAUUAUUAUAUAGGGUAUAUGACAAUUAUUGACAUAUCUGUUGUGUAUGCGGAUGAAAUUUAUUAAACUGGACACAAAAUUCCUCUACUAUUUCGCAGAUAAUCACAUAAAAUUUUGGGUUAUUAAUCAAAGAAAAUUGGUGAGUGAUCACGCUUGUACAUUAGAAUAAACUGAACAGAAGAGUCCUGUGUCAUUUCGCAAAUAACUAUGCAUAUUUUAUUACUAUGCAUAGUUAUUAAUUAAAGAGGAUCGCUGCAUUAUCGCGCACAACCAUGCACUGAUCUUCUUUAAUUAAUAACUAAAAAUCUAUAUGAUCAUUUGCAGAAUAAUGGAGGACCUUCUUGCUUAGAUUGAUCUGAUGUACAAGCACACGGCGGCAGGCGUCGCCAAUACAGCUUAUCUAUCGUAUCUCGCGCGAUCAUUCACCAAUAACCAAUUCACCUCCUUAAUCAAUAACUUGAAACUUUAUGUGGUUCUUCGCAGAAUGGAAGAGGAAUUUUUUGUUCAGUUCGAUGAGUUUUUCUACCUGCGCACAACGGAUAUAUCAAUAAUUGUCAGAUAUCCUAUAUAUACACAGGGGAGAUUCAGCCUAAACGCGAAGACCCGAACACGAGAAUGCCACAUAGAUGGUGAACAAGAUAGACAAGCUUUGCGUGAUUGUAUUCAUAGCGGGAUCGCGCAGUUGACCUGUCACCACAUUAUAGUCGACUAAAUAACUUAUAACUCUGUGGGUACGAGCAAAGACCCCCCGCUUGACUGUUAUAAUAGUCAACGGCCGAAGAAAGGUCCUCUGGAGGAUUUCAUGCCCAUAAAUCCGACUAACACGUGGAUUUCCAGGGAAACCGAGUUGGAGAUUUGACAUGUCUGUUUCACACCUAUCGUCAAAGACCUGUCGUUUUUCUUCGCGCCACACAAUAGACAGAUAAUCCCUCGUUACAUAGCGGUAUCGAAAGCCGGUGCGCACUCGCACGCCAGACUUCCACGUGAAGUUGACGUAUGACACCUCGCUCGGGAUGAUCGGCACCUUAUUCUCGAAUUCCGGAUCCAAUAGACGUCGAGGACAGUUGUCCAAGGUGGAUCUGACGUGUUUUUCCCGAUAAUACCUUAAGCUGACCGACAUUUGCAGAGCCGAUCGACGCCUUCAAUUGGCGCUUCCUCAUUCACUGAUCUUUAAUAUGGAAAACAAGCAGAAAAUUAAAUCGCAACCCGUCUCACACACAGGACUCACCGCUGAACAUCUUGAUCUGCUGCUGGUCGAUCCAAAGAGAGAUGUCACCGGACAGCUUAUGACCAUUGCCGGAGCGAUGUUGGUGCCGGGCGAUCACCGGACGAUCCGCGAGCAGGACCAACGCCGCCGCGAUCAGGGCGACCGCGACCGAGAGCGUAAUUGGCCGCGACGUGUCGCCGCUCAGUGCCAUCGCCGUCCCCGCCGAGGCCGCUACCGCCAGGUGUUGCACGCUCCGCGAGGAAGUUCUUCUUUCUUGCGGCCGAAUGCGCGCGUAACGCACGACGACGACGACGGUGACGAAGACAAUCCGGUCUUCCCGAUGUGCGCGCCUACGUACGCGUCGUAUGGCCCGCUCUUGGCCGCGCGAGUAUGUAUAUGCGAACGUGCGUGCGUGCGUGUACACGUUGUAUAUGUGUGCGUCGUGUGCGUGUGUCCCGUGUGUGCGCGGCGUGUGAGCCCUGCAAUUCGACGCGAUUCAAAAUCGGGGAUUUCGCAACACCGCGAUUCGGCGCGCUGCACCGAAGCACGUUAAGUCCGGAGGAGGUCGGUGAUUUCAACGCACGCGGUAAAAACGAAGGAUGCGCAGGCACGGAGACCACGACACAGACGAUGCGCGCGAGCCGCGUCGCUCCGGCGGACUGACUGACUGACUGACUGACUGACUGACUGACUCUCAAUGAGAGGAAGGCCCGCGGCAGCCCGCUGCGAGCAGCGAGACCUCUCCGAGAGCGAGAUAGACAUCUUGCAGACGCGCUUCGGGCCGUCCCGUGCGGGCUGGCGCGCUAAGGGAUAAGGCUGUGUACACAAUGCAUGAUCGCCGCAGGAUCGCCGCGGGCCCCACAGCCUCUCGCCGAGUUAUCGCGUGUGAAGAGCUGCGCAGAGGUGGUAAACUAUCAAGAGCCAGCUGAAAAGCACAGAUCUCCAACGAGAUCAAUGCGUCGAUCAAUUAGAAAAGAUUUUAAUCUGAGAGCUAUUGUGACGCGUCAGACGGUAGAUAGUCAGUCAGUGGUUAACAUACAAUAAGAAUCCAAACAACGAGAUUGGAAGUGAACGAAAAAUCUGUUGAAAAAACUUGAUUCCUUAUAUCGAAUACUAAUCGCUUGAGAGAGAUAAGCUCUCUCCAGUUUAUUCCACCUCACAUGCAGCUUGAACGUUAACGUUGCACGUUAGAUUAGUGGACGCUCACACGUGUUAGAAACCGCGAGGAAGUAAAUGACAGUUUCUCAAAUUGUGACUCAUGACUGGUUCACCGAGUGAACAAUCUUCUCAUGAUGAAGAUUGGUCAUUCGAUCACCGUAGAAGUAAGCUUCCACGAUGAUUCCAGUUUACUCCACCUCGCAUUUAUUCGCAGCGCGUACGAUUCAACGAUCAAUUUCUCCGAGUUUUUAACACGCUAUCGCGCAAUCUAAUCGUGAAAAAUGCGGGACUUUCGGCUGGAAGCGUUUUGUGCGAGAGAAGACCAAGAGAAUCAUUUGUGCAAACACAUGAAUAUCAGAAUUCGCGAAUUAGCGAAGAAGGUGAAGCAAAAUCUUGCUGGAAAGAACCAGUUCUUUGACGUCUAUCGUUCGAUCGUCGGUCCUUUGUCCUUUCUCUCUCUCUUUCUCUCUCUCUUUCUCUCUCUCAUGUCCCCUCUCUCUCUCUUUCUUUUCGAUCAUUUUUCCUUUCUCUCGCUUUUUAUGUUCUACUGAUAAAUGAAUUUUACUUCCGUGUCGUCUCGCGUCUGCAUCAUUAUUACGUCCGACUCGCUACGAGCACUUAAUUCGCUAUAAACGUUCUCGUGCGAUGUACUCUUGCCACAAAGUAGCUUUCGGUUUGCUUCCAUUGAGCUCGUUAUUCGAGAGAGAGAGAAAAGGGAGAGAGAGCAAGAAUCUUUCUCUGUCGAAUGAUAAAACUCAUGGCAUAAAAGAAGUCGCGCUAAUUUACAGUUAUAUCGUCGCGCUUAAUAUGCAUUUGUCGACAAACACAGCUGAAUCGGAUCUAUUUGUAGAGAUUGAUCUACCUAUCGCUGGCUCGAAGAGAUCUUCGAUAAAUAGCCGAUAUAAUAGUAUCCAUUGUAUCCCCCCAACGGUCGAGGGAUGGGCCACCUAACAAGUGACUCAUUGUUACUCCGUGCGGCUGAGUUCUGUCUUUCGUUAUUUUUCCGCUUUAUCUUUCCCCGUGUGCGUAGUUACACGCGAGAUUUUGUUCUCCAACAAGAUUCCGAAUCGUCGCGUAUCUUCACACGCAAUCCGAGAAAUACUCGAGGAGUAAUGUUCGUGAUACAUCGAUAGACACUUUCUGCGGAAUGUAGAAGAGAGCAACGAAGAAUGUCUGCACUGCACGAUUUCACGUAUCUCUUGCGCGGCAACCUCGCCAGAGUAGCCGGCGAAUGAAUUCAAUUAGGAUCGCGGAGGUUGUGCAAAAACAUUCGAUCAGGAAUAAACCAGCGCUGUCUAGCUCUGCUCGCAGAUGGUCUACGGCUCGUUGCCUGCCCGCUUCAUGUAUCGCAUGUAGCACGCGUAGAUCGUGCUCGGCAGAGCGUCUUAUUACUCGAAACUAAUUUCUCACGUUAUUGCGAUCGUUUUGUUUAACCAAGUGCGGUACUUUGUUAACCACGCGAUAUGCCAUGAAAUUAAGAAUGCCACGCGCGUAAUCUCUAUUAAUAGGCCGUAUCUUUUUCUAAUCCGACAUAAUUAUUAUAUAAUAAUAUAUUCAAUAUUAUAUAAUAUAUAUUUUUCAUUAUGAUUAUGUAUAUAAUUAUUAUAUAAUAUAUAAUUAUCGCGUUAUUAAUUUCUGGAGUCACUUUUGUAUUUAUCAAAUCCCGAUUCUAUGAAGCAAGUAGAAUGUCGUUUCCUUCGGGUUACAUGCUGUGUGAUGUUACAAACCGCGUUAUCGCGAUUCAAGUAUUUUUAUCGACACGAUAUCUCGAAACUAGGCGAGAUCAUCGCAGAGUUACAAUUUGAUGCAAGCGUUUUCGCGCCAAGCGACUCGUGUAGAUCGCAGUUACAGUAAUUUUGCAACGAACGAUCGUGCGAUUGCAUCCUGCUCAGUCAGUCAAUCGGUCUGCCUGCCUGUCUGUCUCUUCGUUUAUUCGUUCGCGGCACGUAACCACGACGAGCGGAGUGAAAGAACGAAGAGGCGAGUAGCUCGCAGGAGCAAGAGCACGGGCACAAAAAACCCGUCUGGCAUAAUCGCGUUAUCGGUCACAUCUCGCUCGAUUUCUGUCCGGUCAGUGGAUCACACGCAGCCCGGCGAGAACAAUGUAAGCGGAGAGAUGAGAACGGAGUGAGAUUCUCGAGUGCGAUUCCUCGAUGGAUUUCCUUCGUUUAUUUCCCUUUUUUUCCAUUUUUUUUCCUUACUUUUAUUGACAUGGGAGUUAUGCGGACAAACGUCGGGACGCGCGCAUAUUCAAUGCGAUCGUUUCGUGAAUGGGUAACUUAAGAGUUAAGACGUAUCGCUUGAAUUAUCGUACAACGCAGUGAUCCGAUCCCGAUAGUACUUGCUGCUUUGCGAGAAGAUGAGACGAUCUACAGGGUGGUCCGUCCGAUCGAUAAGCGGACCGCUCGUGUACGCAGACGGAAAUGCUCGCGACGGCGGCUUUAGGCCAGUUCGUGCCUGUUCCUUUCUCUCUUUUUUUUUUUCCUCGUUUUCCCGAUGUUCGCGCCGAUCGCUGAAAAUGCGUACACGUGGAUGGACGGAGCGCCCUGCACAUACUAUUUCUAGACUCUGCGGUUCUCUCCCUUCGUAGAAAAGUUACUUAAAGCGUUUCGUGUUGAUGCCGAUGCGAGAAUGCACGAAUAUAUAUGCGGAAUACUUCUCUACAUCCCCCCGCGUGUAAUAUAACGGUGAAAAACGCAUCGUUACAUCGUCGUAGUAUUAUCGAGGUAAUAAUAUAAUAUAUGUAUGUAUGUGUGUGUGUAUACAUAUGUGUAUGUAUAUAUAUAUAUGUGUGUGUAUACAUAUAUGUAUACCGAAGAAUUCGCAGAAUAUAAGCGGGCACACGCCGAGCGAAUUUCAACAUCGAAAUCCCGCUCCGGGGUCGACUCUUUUCAUAGCAAGUCCCAUAGUGACACUCACGAUUUUCUUUUUCUUUUUAAGUAACAAUCGAUGGUUAUUAACCUUCCGGUACUGUAUUCAUCGUAUCCGAUAUUAUCGAGGAUCUGUCCUGCGCGCAGAAAUCGUGAAGAGUUUCGCGCGAUCAAUCGAAUCGUGAAAUCGUCGUGCAUGAUUCGUACAAAAAUUUCGGCAAACAAUAGAUGUUAUUUGCAAAGCAACAUUCGCGAUGUGAGCGAAUGCGUUAUCGCGCUGAAUAUCGUAUUGCAACCUAGACUCCUAUGUCAUAUACAUCAAGACGCAAUAUCAUAUUCCCCGUGGCGAUCGACAAGUAAAUGUUGGUAAUCUGACUCGGGUCAAAGCUAUUGAUAAGAAACGCAUACGCGACCCACAAUCGAGUUAUUAACUGCGAUCAACUGUAUUCUCGACGGUCGUCAACGUUCGUCGACGGUCGUACCGGAAGGAUCAAAGUCUCUGACAAUGCGAGAGGUGCGAGAGCUACUCUCUCCUUAAUCAAUUAUCACUUAACGGUAAGAAUAAGGCGCUACGAUCGACGAAGUUGAUCAAACUAUAAUCGAAUGAACACAUUUCGUAUAUUAAGAAAUAAUAGAGAUUCUAAAAGUUUGCUAUAAAAAGAGUCCAGGUUGCGCCUCCCUUUCUCGGGGGAUGACGUGUGCUUGUUGUACAGUGGACAUUUCUCUUUGUUUUUUUUUUUGUCUUUUUUGGUAGCAAUAAGUCACGAAUCGCAUUCCUCUUCGCUAACACAACAUUACAAUAUCAAGCAGAGUAACGAUUAGACUGUUCGUCUCGCCCUUCUGACGAGGAGGUGAACGGAAAUACUUCGGGAACUUAGUCGAGGGAUCGACGGCUGCCAUAAAAUACAUAUUGUUACAGAUACGAUCAUAAAAACGCAAAGAAUUUCACUAUACAUAAAGUACAAAACUAUAAAAAGAAAAAGAAAUACAAAAGGAUAUAUUAGCGUACGAGAGCACGACGGCCUGUUCGUGCGAAAUUAUUGGAAGUUUUAUGUAUAUAUAUAUAUAUAACAUUAAGAUCAACGUAGUCCAACUGAUGGUUUAUAUAACAUGCAAAAGUGAACGAACUCCGCUAUAGCUAGUAAAUACUGAGGCUAGCACUAAUAAAAAACAAAAGAUAAUAUUCUAAAAUAUGAAACGCGCUCGUGUUUUGUGUGUAUUUUAUAUAUGUGUAUAUGUGUGUGUGUGUUGUAUGUGACUUGGACAUCGAGAUUCCUAGUGACAUGUGUAUUUGUUCUCAUAAACUUCGUCAUGAUUAUUGCCAAUUGAAUUGAUCGUGUAUAUCCAGUUAUUAAUAAAUAAAAAAUACAAAGUUACAA